rnacentral:rRNA from 1 species
UAGAGUUUGAUCAUGGCUCAGGAUGAACGCUGGCGGCGUGCUUAACACAUGCAAGUCGAACGGGAAUGCCACGCUGAUGCGAUUUCGGUCAAAUCAUGUGGCAUUCGAGUGGCGGACGGGUGAGUAGCGCGUGGGUAACCUGCCUUACACAGGGGGAUAACACCUGGAAACAGGUGCUAAUACCGCAUAAGCGCACAGGGCCGCAUGGCCCGGUGUGAAAAACUCCGGUGGUGUAAGAUGGACCCGCGUCUGAUUAGCUUGUUGGCGGGGUAGGGGCCCACCAAGGCGACGAUCAGUAGCCGGCCUGAGAGGGUGGACGGCCACAUUGGGACUGAGACACGGCCCAAACUCCUACGGGAGGCAGCAGUGGGGGAUAUUGGACAAUGGGGGAAACCCUGAUCCAGCGACGCCGCGUGAGUGAAGAAGUAUUUCGGUAUGUAAAGCUCUGUCAGCAGGGAAGAAAGAAAUGACGGUACCUGACCAAGAAGCCCCGGCUAACUACGUGCCAGCAGCCGCGGUAAUACGUAGGGGGCAAGCGUUAUCCGGAAUUACUGGGUGUAAAGGGAGCGUAGACGGUGAUGCAAGUCUGGAGUGAAAGGCGGGGGCCCAACCCCCGGACUGCUCUGGAAACUGUGUAACUUGAGUGCAGGAGAGGUAAGCGGAAUUCCUAGUGUAGCGGUGAAAUGCGUAGAUAUUAGGAGGAACACCAGUGGCGAAGGCGGCUUACUGGACUGUAACUGACGUUGAGGCUCGAAAGCGUGGGGAGCAAACAGGAUUAGAUACCCU